AGCGAACGCUGGCGGCAGGCUUAACACAUGCAAGUCGAGCGCCGUAGCAAUACGGAGCGGCAGACGGGUGAGUAACGCGUGGGAACGUGCCCUAAGGUACGGAACAACCAAGGGAAACUUUGGCUAAUACCGUAUGUGCCCGAGAGGGGAAAGAUUUAUCGCCUUAGGAGCGGCCCGCGUCUGAUUAGCUAGUUGGUGAGGUAACGGCUCACCAAGGCGACGAUCAGUAGCUGGUCUGAGAGGAUGAUCAGCCACACUGGGACUGAGACACGGCCCAGACUCCUACGGGAGGCAGCAGUGGGGAAUAUUGGACAAUGGGGGCAACCCUGAUCCAGCCAUGCCGCGUGAGUGAUGAAGGCCUUAGGGUUGUAAAGCUCUUUCGACGGGGAAGAUAAUGACGGUACCCGUAGAAGAAGCCCCGGCUAACUUCGUGCCAGCCGCCGCGGUAAGAC
rnacentral:rRNA from 1 species